UCUUCAAUUGUUUGGGAAGGAUUAGGAAGUAUGGCUUUGUGAAGAGAGACAUGCCAAUGGGGGAAGGCUUUGAAGUUUCAAAACAUCCUGCCAUUUCAAAAAGUCCAAGGUAGUUCUCUGUUAUAGUGCUUUUGGAUUGUAUACCUUCCAUUACUGGUCUGAUGUCAUGCCUGCCUGCCUGCCUUUUGUCAUGUUCCCUGUCAUGAUAUGCAUGGAAUCUAAACUCUCCAGUAGUUUUUGCCCCAAAUAGAUGUUUCCCUUUAUAGAUUGACUUGGUCAUUGUGUUUUUUUACAGCAAGAGAAAAAUAUCCAAGACAAUUGGACUAUAUAAUACUGACUCAAAAAUUUACCAUUGCUUAAAUCUAAGUGAAAAUCAGGUAACAGUUGAUCAAAAAAAAAUUGAAAAAAUAAAAAUGAAAAUAAUAGUUUGCAUUUGUAAAGAACUGUGAGUUGAUGAAUAGUGGUAUACAGCAUUGAAGAUCAAAAUCAUUUUAGUAUCCCAGACUUUCCUGACAGUUAUGGAAGGCAUAUCCUUAGGGAAAGUCAAUUCUCUUCCAUUUUUUAUGAUGCUAGCUUAGUAAAUUUGCAGUGCCCUCUCAUACAGCAGUAGAUUUUGAUGUUUUCCAAGCCUUUGAAUUUAUUAGUAUAUUAAGAGACUCUGCUUAUCCAGGGUUGUGCCUGAUCAAUCUAAUUUCCUUCCGCGGGUGAGAAGCUCCAGGCAAGGGUAUGGUAUUGUUCAGAUAAAUGAAAAUGUGUGUACUGACAGUUCGAGAGGGCCCCACAAUCUCUGAUAGAGAAUCACAGCUACAUUAACAUUACUCAUUGCUGAUUCUCAUGAGCCGAAUUGUCACACUGAGACAGGCUUUAAAAGGCUGAAACAAUGAAAAUUCACACAUCAGUUCAGGAAUAAUAGUGCUACUGCUGUAGUUGUGGUAGCAGUAAGGUAGAACUACUCAUCAAAAGGCAACUAGUACAGAUGAAUAUAUAAACUCUAUUGGAAACCCCACUUGAUCUGAAUAGUUUAAAAGGAAUUCUUGCUUUCUCGGCUCAGGAAAUUCCAAAAUAAAAUUUCACUAAAUAAAAUUUUAAACUGAGGAAUAUUGGACAGCUAUAUUUGUUAGUCUACAAUACAUGUUGGAAAUUUGACUCAGCUCUAUUUUUGGAGCAUGUACUUUCAGAAAUAAGUGGACAGAAAACUAUUAAUGAGAAUUAAUGAAUAAAUUGUCUAGGAUUCAUGAAGCCAGUGAAUAAGCCUACAUGUUUCUAUAUCAUACAGAAAUUACAACCUCUCAUGCUUUCUAGUAACUUUUAUGCUUCUAGCAUUUAUCUCUACCAGAAUUACAAACAAAAGAAAGCAGGGUAUAUGGUUGGUUAAGACACAUCUCAGCAGGUCAGAAUUUGCCUUAGAGUGUUGAACUCUCUCAGAUGGAUAGUGAGCACAGAUUUUUUUUUCUCUAAAGAUAUAAAAUGUCUCAAAAGAAAAAGAAAAAAGAAAGAAAGAACAAAUUCGGGGUAUUUUGCUAAUUUAAAAUGAAUUCAGAAUAGGUCAUGAUUGAUAGUUUUCUGACUCUUCUCUCAGCAUCCUGUUGGGGAGGAUACUGUGGUGUCAAUAGAUGAAUCCUCUCUGGUUACUGUGCUCAGUACUUAAACACAAACUUUAGGGAAACCAGUUUCUCCCCCAUACACGACUGAAAUAAGACAAGUGAGGGUGUACGGUGACUGUGUUUUUUAUAUUAUCUAUUUGACGUGAGCCAAACACAGACCUCUACCAUUUUCAGGGAAGAAAUGUUGAUAGCAAUACCAGACAAUUAUUAUAUCUGAAUUGUAGGGUUUCGUAUUCAGGUUUCACCAUGAGAGAAAAUGCUUGGGAGAAGUCAACUUAGGAAUAGGUGUAUCUUGCUUCAAUCCAUAUUAAUGGGCUUCACUGUUUCUGUGUCUGUAUUGAGAAAUAAGAUCAUGGACCAGAAUACUGAGUGGAUAAAAGUAGCCCACCGCAUAGUGGACAGUAGAUAAGAGGAAAGAAAGAUAAGAGAGGAUGAGAGGAGUGUGAAUCUUAUACACAUGGACUUUGGUCUGCUUCUCACAGUUUAUACCACCUUCUAAUAAUCUAUGUAGCUAUAAAUCUCUCCAUGGAUUGAGCCACUGAUGAAGCCAAUGCCCUCAUAAUCCAGACCCUUCUCCAAAGCCCCUAUUUUCAUCACUUCUUCAGAAUGAAGACUUCAUCUCGUGUGACUUUAGUAGAUCCUACAGACUAGAUUCAUAAAACUUUUGUCAUUCUCAGGGUAUUCUGAAGAAUACAAAAACCAAACAUAAGAAGAGUGAUUAAGCAUAACACAGAAAGGAGUUUGAAUAACCUCCACAGUAUACAUAGAAGGAAACUCCAAAAUGCAUGAAUAAAGUCUUAAAUAGACUGUAAGGAAACCUUAUAGUGGGUAUAAGCUUGGAGAUAUUUUAUCUUCAGCUGAGAAUAUCCUUUCUAGUAUAAGAAGCUAAGUGUUUAUAUUUAUAUUCAUUCACUCAUUUGUGGUAUCAAUAGCCAGUAAUCUUUGGGGAAAAAAAAAACAGAAUUAUGAGAAAAAAGAUUCUUUGGAGAAAACUGGGUUUAAUGGAUGUGGUUUAUCAUCUAAUUUAAUGUCUUCCCUUUUCUGCCAUUACAUAUUUUAUGUGUUAAAGAAAUAUUUUCUACACCA
rnacentral:lncRNA from 1 species